GCCAGGCAUGGUGGCACACACCUGUAAUCCCAGUGAUUCAGGAGGCUGAUGCAGGAGGAUCACAAGUUUGAGGCCAGCCUCAACAACUAAGUGAGACCCUGUCUCAA
rnacentral:sRNA from 1 species